rnacentral:rRNA from 1 species
GAUGAACGCUGGCUACAGGCUUAACACAUGCAAGUCGUGGGGAAACGGCAUUAUGUGCUUGCACAUUCUGGACGUCGACCGGCGCACGGGUGAGUAUCGCGUAUCCAACCUGCCCCUUACUUGGGGAUACCCCGUCGAAAGACGGCCUAAUACCCGAUGUGUUUCAUUGACGGCAUCCGAUAUGAAACAAAGGUUUUCCGGUAAGGGAUGGGGAUGCGUCUGAUUAGCUUGUUGGCGGGGCAACGGCCCACCAAGGCGACGAUCAGUAGGGGUUCUGAGAGGAAGGUCCCCCACAUUGGAACUGAGACACGGUCCAAACUCCUACGGGAGGCAGCAGUGAGGAAUAUUGGUCAAUGGACGCAAGUCUGAACCAGCCAAGUAGCGUGCAGGAUCGGGUUGUAAACUGCUUUUAUGUGGGAAUAAAGUGGCGCACGUGUGCGCCGUUGCAUGUACCUCAUGAAUAAGGACCGGU